rnacentral:rRNA from 1 species
UCCGAAGGGGGCUAGCGUUGUUCGGAAUCACUGGGCGUAAAGCGCACGUAGGCGGAUCGUUAAGUCGGGGGGUGAAAUCCUGGAGCUCAACCUCGGAACUGCGUCUGAAACUACUCGACUAGAGUACUGGAGAGGGUAACGGAAUUCACGGUGUAGCAGUGAAAUGCGUAGAUAUCGUGAGGAACACCAGAGGCGAAGGCGGUUACCUGGACAGUUACUGACGCUCAGGC